rnacentral:lncRNA from 1 species
AAGUUGGAGAAGCUUCACUCGAAAUAAUGGAGUCCAGUGAAGCAGGCAGUUGGUUUUAUGAAUUGACCAUAAUGUCCUCGUAUUAUAAAUAAAAAAUACAAUUUUAGAAGGGUAAAAUUGUCUUUUUGACCUACUGAACCCAGGAGUUUAAUCAAGCUUAUAUAAAGCCUAAAAACCCUCGGCUCUUUUCCCUACCAAACUUGGUACAAGAAUCUCUCUCUCUCUCUUCUAUCUUCAUUCUUACAGUCUUUGAGUUUUUUAUAAUACCAAAACAGCCACAGAAUACAAUUAGUCUUUUGCAAAAAUACCCAUCAAAUACACAGAGGAAAGCAUCAAGAAAGUACAGAGAAGAAAGAAGAAGAAAGAAGGAGGAGAAGAAGUGAUGAUGAAGCAGAGAACCAGAGCUUUUGCGACAGGCACGUGCGAGACCCGUGCAGUCGUUUGGGAAGAGUGCAGCAGAUUAGUGAAGGAGCAGAGGGCAAGGUUCUACAUU